GGAAAAGUUAGUGAGGGAUUUGAUGGAAGGAGACAAGGGAAAACAAAUGAAGGAAAGAAUCACGGAGUGGAAGAAAUUAGCACAGGAAGCAACAGAACCAAAUGGGUCAUCGUCCAUUAACUUUGACAAGCUGUUGAAUGAAUUUCUACCUUAAAUACAGCAACAGACUGUCUGUUUGUGCAACACUGCUACCACAGGCAUUUCUUUUUUUGCAACAGCAUCAUACUUUCUUUAUGGGUUACUGUAAUGAAAUUAUAUAUUCGCAGCCUGUGUGUUUCAAGAGGUUUGCACACACUACUUAAUUCAUCUAUCUUAUAAACUUGUUCCCUACGAGACGAGCUGUCUUUCCUACACCCAUCUUCUACUCUUCAUGCUUAGUCAUAACUUCAAAGAUAUCUAUUGGCAUGCUUUUCUCCCGGUGAAAUUUCAUCUUCAAUGACAUUCAUGGAUUUGUUGUGUAUUUCAUGGUAAAAGUGAAAGGGAGCUCAUGGGACCUGGAAAAAUCUGAAAGCUCAUGGUCAUGAGCGUUUUCCUAGCAAUUCUCCCCCUUGGCUACGUAGACUCGAAAUAAGACACUCCUCUUUCUGUGACACCUUGGAUUGACCAUCUCAGUAAAUGGAUGACCGAGAAUAUUAGGAUUUCAUGUGAAUAAUAAGGCCCAGAAAAUGCAUUAAGAAAAUCUGCAGUUUGCUUCUUUUGGCUAAUGUGGUCAAUCGACUGAGAAAAUGCAAGAAUUGCAUGUAGAUGUUGGGGUUUCAUGAAUCAUGUAUAAGUAAAAAUAAAUAAAACAAAGCCGAAACAAAGAUGAUAUAUUUCUAUACAUGAUUUUCCAAAGGUGUUGUUCGUGUGUUUUAAUCAAAAAUCUGAAUAUAAAAAAGGGAGUUAAACGAAUUAGCUCUCGAAGCGCGCUUUAAACAAAUUGGUUCGAAUAUUCUACAGUUUGAGCCCCACAAACAUCGGACCUCUAAUUCAGACACACCAACAAUGGACGUCGAAUGGAAGAGAGAACUUUCGGGUAAUCACCACUAUAAUCGUGCUAGCGAUCUCAUGGAGACAAUCCUCUGUAUUCUUGAUGUUUUUAGCCACGGCUUGAAUGAAAGAGAAUCACUCUUCUUUCUCGCGUCUCGAAAACACAAAACACCCACACCUUUUUCUCUUUUCGGCAACCCUUUUUAUGCCCUCAAUUAUACAUCAUUUAAUAUCAACAACGGUUGCUCAUCGAGGGACGAUCAGCAACCGUUGCUGAUCGUUGAUUGUGCAUGAAGUUACCCCUAUAUAUUUUUUUUAUUAAAAGAAAAGCACAUGGUCAGCAACAAUUGUUGACCAUGUGCACAUUGAUUAAAUAAAUAAAUAAAUAAAUGAUCAAUUUAUAUAAAGGACAUAAUCUUUAUGUGUGCAUUUGGAAUACCUUAACAUAUAUUUACUUUGGGCAUGCGUGUGUAUCAUAUGCACAUAGCCUCGUGACUAUAAUACAAAUUAAAUUAAAUCUCAUUUAAUUUAAUUUCAAGUCGACACAAUUUGAUUGCAAUAAUUGCAAACACAUUUGCAACAUUAUUUCUCUAUUGUUCCAUGUUAUCUUAAUUGUUUAUGGUGUGUGACAUUCUUAGAUUCAUCACUAAGCUGGUAGUAAGACUUAUACUAACACAUUAGUACUCCCAAAAGAAUUAAUUGUCCCGAUUAAUCUUUGGGUCCUACAAGCCAUGAUUAACAUCUAGUAAUAUGUCAUGACUACCCAGAUAGUGUGAAUGUUUUAAGAAUAUAAUGAACCUAUCAGCUUUGGCUAUAGUAUAAUUCAAUCAUUCUAUCUAUGUCCCGAUCGAACAAAAACUAUUGAAUAUUUCUCAAGUCACCAAUUCGAUCAUAUGCACAAAUCUAAUUGAUAUGCAUUUUAUUCGAGACAUAAACAAUUUAUUCUCGGUUACAAUCUCGGCUGAGGAUUUCAAUGCAUUGUCAUAAUUAGAUCGCAUAAGACAUCAUUAUUAUAUCUUGCACAUAAUAAGAAGAUAGAUUCUAUAUUGCGUACAUGUGCAACUUCGUAUAUGAACAAACUAUGACCAUAAGGUAUAAAGACGGAUCAACGACUCGACAUUAUGUGUGCUUGUGAACCAUAGUUGUUUAACGUACAAGUUAAUACUAUAUCUCAAGUCUAAGGAUUAUUUACACAAGACCAAAGCAUGAAAAAUUAGACAUUGAUCAUGCUAAAAGCUUUCAUGUCGUUAAUCAUUCCAUAUGCGUCAUGUUCAAUGAACUUGUCUAAUACAAACACUUGUGUUCUAGAAAGCUCUCUUUUUGGGCGAUUCCUCGGGUGAUUCUGGCACUGUUCCAGCUCCUUUGUGCACGGCGAUUUUCGGUUGGUUCAGCCAGUGUUAGGCGCCGAUUUUUGGAGGUAAGGGCUUCCUUUUAUCCUCCUUCAAACCUUUGUGCUACUCGCCUUGCUUCUUCUCGAUAUUGGGCUUUGGUGGGCGCAGUUGAGUAGGGUUUCUACUUUCUAGUUCAUUGCUGGUUUCUAGUGCUUUGACUGGUUGUUAAGGCUAGUCUUGGGAGGACAGGACCUUCCUUUGGACUUCUUUUAAAGCCCUAAGGAGGUGUCCUUGUUCGCUUCUUCUUGGGCCGCUAUGCUCGAACUUGGCUAGGGUUCUGGUCCUGCUUUUGGUUUCGUGGUUCCUGUUGUGUGAUUCGAGCUUGGUGAUGGCUCGAGCUAGAGAAGGGCCUAACGCACGUAAUGUGUCCCCUCCUAUCCAGGGGCGUUCGACUCUUGUGGAUUCCUCUAGGGAGGAUGUCACUGUUCCUUCUCUUGAUGGAUCGAAUGAUGACUUGGUGGGUUAGCCAUCUUGUGCUCAUGUUGGGCCUAAAGGAAGAAGUCGAGUGUGGUCUCGAUCUAAACACCCUCAGCAGAGGAAUGGUUGAACAACUCGAAUGCCUGCUCUUGGGCUGCUGUGGUCAAGGUGUCUGUUAAGGGCUAUGAUUUGGAAUAUUUUCCUCUUACUUAUGUAAACAACAAGCCUGUUGUGGAUCUUACUAUUGAUAUUCUUGAAGUGGCCGAUCCCAAGUUAAAGGAGUGCCUCGUGGGCUACUUCAUUGGUAGAAGGUUUCCUUUCAAGGUCACCAAGACGGCUCUCAAGAAUGCCUAGGGCCCGAAUUUGGCUAAGGUGAUGUCCAGCGGCCAAGGCUUCUUCUUCUUUCAUGUGCCCGAUGUUGAGUUCCGCAGGAAGGUCCUCGAUGGUGGACCUAUCACGGUGGCCAGGGUGCCUUUGGUGUUAUAACAAUGGAAGCCUUCAUUAGAGAUGAAAAAUGAUUUACCCUUGAUGGUGCCGGUGUGGAUUAGGCAAACAAACUUGCCUCUUGCAUUAUGGUCUUCUCAAGGAAUUGGCAAGGUAGCCAGUGCUGUUGGCAAGCCUUAGUAUAUGGACUGUCACAUCGAGCAUAUGAAGAUGCUGGCUUUCGCCAGAAUUUGCGUUGAAAUUACAGCGAAUCAACCAAGUUGUGAGGUGGUGGAAGUGGUUCAUAAAGGGGUUUCAUGCUCAGUGGGUUUGGAUUAUGAAUGGCGCCCCCUUGCAUGCCCUAGAUGUGGUAUCUUUGGCCACAAAUGCCCAUCUGCUCUUGCUCGUCCCUUUGGUAUGGGUGUUAUAUACCAGCCUCUCGUUGUUGCUCCUGUUGGUUCACAACAGACCUCGGUUGUUGCUUUCGCUGCACUGGAUGCGGCGAUGGACCUUACUCUGGCCCUCGUUGCUUAGGUUAUUCCUUCUUCCCCGGUCAUGGCCGGUUCAGCAGCUGCUCCGCUGAUCACUGAGAUUGUCGGUAGCUCGGUUGCUGGUGGUGAAUUGCCCUGGGUGUUGGAUAAAUCUGCUGCGGAUGCGGUUCCUUCCUCAGGGGCUAAUCCAAGAUGGAAACAAGUUAAAGGCAAAAAGAAAAAGCCUCCUACUGGCGAGGCUACUACUUUAUUUAGCUCGGCUCCUCCAGUUGAAAGGGGUCAAUCUCUGAAACUCAAGAAACCUACUUCUACCAAGGCUGGUGGUAAUCCUUCACAGAAGUCACAACCUCCGUCCAAAUUUACCUAAAAACUAGAUGAAGGCCUUUUCUCGAUAGGUGUGGUGCUGGCUAAACCCAUUUCUUCUUUGGUUCCUCAGUCGAGCUCGGGAGAGGACAUUGAAGGUUCCAACAUUGCUUCGGAUGAUGGAUUUGCUUUCAAUAUGUCCUUCUCCGUAAGCUUCGCCGGUCCUUCGGAUCACUGAAUCCAUGUAAGACAAGCUUCUUAAGUUGCACCCUAAUUCGCUCUCUUUGAUAUUACCUGCACCGGCCUACUUUCGACGUAGGACUUCUAAAAAGAGGUGACUCCUCCUCAUUUGUAUUAUGUAUAUAGGUAUAUGGAAUAUUAAGGGCAUUGUAAACCCCAUUAGACGUGCUGAAGUUAGAAAGUUUGUUUCUUCAAACAAUUUGUCUUUUGUUGGCCUUCUUGAAACGAAAGUGCCUGAGUCCCUUUUCCAUUCUAUCUCUUCAAGUUUGUUGAUGGGGUGGAAUUGGUUUGCUAAUUAUGAAUUCUCCCCUCGGGGUAGAAUCUUGGUCGGUUGGAACCCUGAUUUUGUUAGCUUUGAAGUUUCUUCUAUCAACGCUCAGGUUGUCCAUGGCCAUUUGAAGUUCUUGCUUUCGGGGUUGUCUUGUUGUGUUUCUGUCAUUUAUGGAGAGCACUCAUUCACUCGCCGUUGUCCUCUUUGGGAAGACCAUGUCCAGAUGAACAUUUUGGUGCAGGACUCGGCCUGGCUAGCUGCUGGUGACUUUAAUGCAAUUAAAGAUCCUUUCGACCGGGUUGGUGGUUCUACUAAUUUGAUUCCUUGUUUUGAUAAUUUUAGUCACUGUUUAGCCCAGACAGAUUUGGAAGACCUAAGGUAUGUUGGUCCACUUCCUCUGGUGCUGGAAGGAAGAUGAGGAAGAUUGAUCGAGUGUUAGUGAAUGCUAAGUGGAAUUCUGUGUUUUCUUUCUCUGAAGCUUCCUUCUUGAGUCUGGGUAUCUCUGAUCACUCCCCCAUGAUUGUUAGAGUUCUCGAUCCGGUUGUGAGAAGGAAGCCUUUCAAGUUCUUUGAAUUUUGGAUGAAGCACUCGGCUUUUCCUUCUAUUGUUUAGCAAGUUUGGGAGAGUCAUGUGGAUGGGGUUCUAAUGUUUAAACUUGUUUGUAAGUUAAAGGCUUUAAAAGGCAGGCUCAAACAACUCAAUAGAGAGGCUUUCUCUGACAUUUCUACAAGGACUAUUGAUGUUAGGAAUGCUCUUCACCUUACACAGCUUGCUUUACAAUAGGAUCCAAUCAGCAUUCCUCUUGCUGAGUUAGAGAAAACUCAGCGGCAACUGUUUGUAGACUUGUGAUCUCAAGAGGAAUCCUUCUACAAACAGAAAUCUAGAGUCAAGUAGCUCCAGGAGGGUGAUCGAAACACUAAGUUCUUUCAUCAUUCAGUCAGUAGAAGAUAGCUCAGGAAUAGGAUCCUAUCAGUUAAGGAUCCCUCAGGUUCUUUGAUAAUGGAUCUUGCCUUGGUGCCUCCGAUUUUUGUCUCUUUCUUUACAGAUCUUCUGACGCCGCACGUAGCCCUCACGAAGCCUUCUUUAUAGAAGUUGAAGAAGUUUAUUCGAUGGCCACUUUUGGUUGAUCGGGUUGGUAUUCUAUCUCGCCCAAUCCUUGACCUUGAAAUUCGUGAUACUUUAUUUUCUCUUGCCCGUGGUAAAGCUACUGGGCCAGAUGGCUUUACAGUAGAGUUCUAUAAUAGCAAUUGGGACGUGGUAAGACCUCUUGUUAUAGAGGCGGUGAAUGACUUCUUUUCUACGGGUCACUUGCUUAGAGAGGUGAACAAUACUAUCCUAGCUUCGGUGCCUAAGGUUCCUAAUGCCUGUGUUGUUUCGGAUUUUAGGUCCAUAGCUUGUUGUAACACUAUUUACAAAGUUAUCACUAAGAUUUUGGCGAACCGUCUUGCUGGUGUCUUAGAUGACUUGGUUAGUAUUUCCCAGAAUGCCUUCGUUAAGGGUAAAAGGAUUAGGGAUAAUAUUCUCUUAGCCUAGGAGUUGUUUGCAAGUUUCCACCUUGACCCUUACUUGCCUAAGUGUGCAAUUAAGGUAGACUUCCAGAAGGCUUAUAACACAUUGGACUAGGACUUUCUUGAGCUUACCCUUUCGGCUUUCAGCUUUCCUAAUUGGAUGAUCAAUCUCAUCAUGGUAUGUGUCCGUAUCCCAAAGUUCUCCAUCUCGAUCAAUGGUGAGUUGCAUGGUUUCUUCUCAGGUGGUCAUGAGCUUCGACAAUGAGACCCAAUGCUACCCUAUUUUUUCACCCUGGUCAUGGAGGUUUUCUUUGGGAUUCUGAACUCCCAUACAGCUCAUAAAGACUUUAAGUAUUUUUGGAGAUGUAAAGCUAUGAAACUCUCCCAUCUCUUCUUCGCCGAUGAUGUCUUUCUUUUUUGUCAAGUAGAUUGGGCUUCUGUGUCUCUCCUCAAGAGAGGCCUUGAUAUCUUUUCUUCUUAGAGUGGACUGUUACCAAACAAGAACAAAAGUGAAGUUUUUCUAGCAGGUGGGCCUUCCUCCUUGCGUAGGAAUAUUCUUUUGGUAUUUGGUUUUCGGGAAGGGAAACUACCGGUGCGAUAUCUGGGGGUACCCAUCAUUUCCUCAAGGUUUGGUAAAGGGGAUUGUAUCGUUCUUAUUGAUCGGAUCAUGGCUCGGGUUCAAUCUUGGGUUCAAUGGUUUCUUUCCUUUUCUAGAAGACUCCAGUUGAUCAGGUUAGUGUUUCUUUCCUUUGCUAGAAGACUCCAGUUGAUCAGGUUAGUUUUACACUCUAUACAAGCCUUUUGGGCUAGUGUAUUUACCCUUCUUGUUUUAGUUUUAGAGCAUAUUGAGCGCAUUUUAAGGCAGUUCCUCUGGAAGGGUCCAACCCUAGGUCGGGGUGGGGUUAAAGUUUCCUGAGAGGAUGUCUGUGUUCCCAAGGAGGAGGGCGGUUUAGGUGUUCGAAGGUUGAAGGACUACAACAAGGCAGCUAUGCUUAAGUAUAUCUAGAUCUUGUUCACUGAUAAAGAGUCCCUAUGGUGUCGGUGGAUCCACACCAAUUUUUUUUAAGAGGGAUAAUUUUUGGGUUUCAGUAGUGCCUACCACGUGUUCUUGGACUUGGAAGAAAAUCCUACAAUUGAGGAAAGACUUCAGGCUUUUCUUUUAUUGGAAAGUGGGUGACAGUCAUUCCGUCUCGCUUUGGUUUAACAACUAGCAUUGGGAAGGACUGUUGAGCCUUUUUAUCCCAGAUUCUCUCAUUGCAAGUUUGGGCCUCUCUAGGCAGCAAUGGUGGCAGACCUCCUUUCACCAAUGGGUUGUACUUUCAGGACUCUCUUGAAGCGUUGGGAUUUUUCCUUUCCAGUUCUUUCUCAAUCUCUUGACCGGUUCUCUUGGCGAGAUUCACCUACCAAUUCCCUUUUGGUGGCUUCAGCCUGGGAGGUCUUAAGAACCAAGAAGAACCGUGUUCCAUGGGCUAAACUUAUUUGGAACAACUCCAUUGCUCCUCGUUUUCAAUUUAACCUCUGGUUGAAUACUAGGAAUUGCUUAUCCACUUAGGUUUUUCUACUUUCUCAUGGUAGAAUUUGAUAAUGCUAGUACGAGUACCUAGAGGGGGGUGAAUAGGUUUAUAAAGUUUUCUUGGAGAUUGCACAAUACUUAAACAGAUAAAAAAUCAAUCGUAAGACUGAGUAAAGGAAAGAGAGAAUUAAACACGAGGUUUAUAGUGGUUCGGCUUGAUUCAAGCCUACGUCCACUCUUCUGCACUGACAGCCGAUUGGCUGGAUUCCACUAUGAACAAAGAGAUGUUACAGUGUUGAUCUUCCUUGAUUUCUCGAUGUAGAUGAUCUACUACACUCGCUCAAGGUAUCACCAAGUAUAAACACUCUCUGUGUGUACAAUUUCGCUCGAACUGUAUCGACUAACAAUCAAGGUUUUUCAGACUCUGGAAUUUUUCUAUCAAUCACACACUUAAAACAACUAGAACGUCUUCCUUUUAUACUCCUUUAUGCCAUCAUAGCCGUUGGCACUUACCAAAGGAAUUCCUCCAAUCUACCCGUUGGACGGAAUCAAUUAAGAAGAUCAUCCGAGCUAUUUAAGGAAUCUGAUGAUAGCCCAUCAAUCAUGUUCGCCCAUACAAUCAGGAUUUUGGUUUCCAAGAAUAGAACAUUCCAAGAAUGUUUCGUCGACCAUCGGAUCUUCUAUUGUUCUUAGAUAAGAAUAAAAAAAUCCGAAGUGAUUAUCCAACCAAGGGAUCUUUUCCAGAGGAUUGGAUCGAAUCCCCAACCAUAUACUUCGGCUUCGGAUAUCCUUCGCUACUGGAUUAGAAAGACUGUCAGUGAGAAUAAUUUUGAGUCUUGAGUCUUGAGAUUACAAAGUCUUGAGACUAUAAAGUCUUGAGACUUUAACUAUCGAUAUCCAGACUUAGAUUGAUAGAAAUGUUUUGUCAGCUUCAAAAUAUUCUGGAAAGAUUUCUCCAACAAUCUCCCCCUUUUUGAUGGUGACAAAACUUUCUUGUAGAUUUGAACAACUUUGACCUGCAAAAACAUUUUUCAAGCAAUAUGGCUAACUCAUAAAGAUUAAUAAACAACCAGACUCUGCAUCCACAACAAAUUGGUUAGUCUUUCAUGAGUAAUACCAUAUAACAAUACUUGAUAUAAAUGCAACCAGUCAAGCAUCAAAAUCCACAGCCAAUUCAGUCUAACACUCAAGUUCAAGUUCUCAAGUCAUACUCAACAAUAAACAUAAACACAAAAGUCAAAUAAAGUUUUAAAAUAAUGUUUGUUCAAAUUGGUUCUCCCCCUUUUUGUCAUCAUUAAAAAGAGGGUGAGAAAGGAGUCAUGUCUGCUUGGGAAUGCGCACGAUCUGGAAUUCUCCCAUUGACUGGACUACGCCUUCCAGCCUCUUCAAGUCCUCCCUUAGAUGAGCUACCUCCUCUCCUUUGGCAUUGGCUUGAAUUUGCAGAGCGAGGUCUUUCAUCUUGUCCUCCAGGCUGACUGAAGAUGCUUGUCCAGCAUUCUUCAUUGCUUGAAUUUCACAUUCCAAAGCAUAUAUUUGGCCACGCAUUUCCAGAAGAAUAUCCAUGAUUCGAUGAAAAUCUGCAGAAUUGUCUGUCUGUGCACUGGCAUGAGCUUUUUCAGAUGAUGGCACUUCUGUAUAGUCUGCAGANNNNNNNNNNNNNNNNNNNNNNNNNNNNNNNNNNNNNNNNNNNNNNNNNNNNNNNNNNNNNNNNNNNNNNNNNNNNNNNNNNNNNNNNNNNNNNNNNNNNCGAUACUGAUCGCAGUGAUGAGAAAGUAUACUACUUUAAUAGGGCAGCCAUAUGCAGAGGCGUGUAGAACUUUGCUAGAUGCAUGACUUAGUGUUUAAUUACUAUAUCACUCCCUCGGACUUUGGAUUGCAAUUUCCAACAUCCAUAUCAGCUUUUCUUUCCUCUGGGUUCUGGUUUGAGUGUCACCAGAGAGAGAGAGAGAGAGAGAGAGAGAGAUGGACACUCAAUUAGCCUCAGCUAAGAGAAGCCAUGCCGUUUGUAUGCCAGGUCCAUACCAAAGCCAUAUAGGAGCAAUGCUAAAACUGGCAAAGCUUCUACAUACAAAAGGUUUCGACAUAUCCUUCGUGAACACAGAAUACAACCAUCGACGCCUACUGAAAUCAAGGGGACCUCGAGCCCUUGAUGGCUUCCAUGGCUUUCAGUUCCUGACAAUCACCGAUGGCCUUCCUCCCUCGGAUGCAGACUCAAGCCAAGACCUCAUGGCUCUAAGUGAUGCUGUCAGAAAUAACAUGUCUGCUCCAUUUUCUGAUCUCAUCUCCAAUCUCAACCACGCCGCAUCAAACUCAGAUGUUCCUCCAGUCACUUGCAUUUUCUCUGAUGGAUUCAUGUCAUUUGCCACCAGUGAAGCUGCUCAAGAAUUCGGCAUCCCUAUCAUACAGUUGUGGACAAUCCCUGCCUGCGCCUUCAUGGGAUACAAACAAUACCGGACUCUUCAGGAAAAGGGCUUCACUCCAUUAAAAGGUACAUAUACAAGGAAGAUAGGUUUUUUCUUUUCUUUUUUUAACCCUGUGAGUAGACUUGGUGAUUAAUGCGCAUGGCUUAUGUAUGACCACCCACAACAUCUGGUACUAACGAUUCCGAGUGCAACCACCCCUGCUUUGGCUCGUGUCUUACCGGUCCUAAGUCACCGGGGUAUUUCUUGAGUCCGAGGUCUACUGACCUAAAACUAACUUUCUUCAUAUAAAAAAAAAAAAAAAGAUUUUAUUUUCGUAAUACGAUAUACAUAAAAGACUAAGAAUAUCACGUGUGGUGCAGAUACCAGCUACUUAACAAACGGCCAUUUGGAUACAGUAAUCGAUUGGAUUCCAGGAAUGAAGGACAUUAGAUUAUGGGACCUGCCAACCUUCCUUCGUACCACGGAUCCUGAUGAUAUUUUGCUCAAUUUUAUAAUGGAUGUCACUGAGAGAGCCAAUACAGCCUCAGCAAUGAUUUUCCAUACCUUUGAUGCCCUUGAAUCAGAAGUGCUUAACGCUUUAUCAUCAAUGUUUCCUCGCGUCUAUGCAGUUGGCCCACUCUCGUUACUAGUCAACAAACUAGUGCAGGAAGAGAGCCCCCUCAAAUCUAUUGACUGCAAUCUGUGGACAGAAGAUACAGAGUGUCUUCGAUGGCUCGACUCGAAGGAACCAAAGUCGGUUCUAUACGUUAAUUUUGGCAGCAUAGCUGUCUUGACAAGAGAGGAGCUUAUUGAGUUUGCAAUGGGACUGGCCAACAGCGAACACCCAUUCUUGUGGAUAAUUAGGCCUGACCUUGUAAGUGGGGAUUCAGCAGUUCUUCCCCGGGAAUUCCUUGAAGAAACAGAAGGAAGGAGUAUGUACGCAGAUUGGUGUCCACAAGAGGCAGUUCUCAACCACUUGUCCACCGGAGGGUUCUUGACACAUUGUGGAUGGAACUCUGUAAUCGAGAGUGUGUCUUCAGGAGUCCCAAUGAUUUGUUGGCCAUCUUUUGGGGACCAGAGCACAAACUGCGCUUACGCUUGUAGUAAAUGGGAGAUUGGUUUGGAGUUAUCAGGUGUGGUCAAGAGAGAGGAAGUGGAAAAGUUAGUGAGGGAUUUGAUGGAAGGAGACAAGGGAAAACAAAUGAAGGAAAGAAUCACGGAGUGGAAGAAAUUAGCACAGGAAGCAACGGAACCAAAUGGGUCAUCGUCCAUUAACUUUGACAAGCUGUUGAAUGAAUUUCUACCUUAAAUACAGCAACAGACUGUCUGUUUGUGCAACACUGCUACCACAGGCAUUUCUUUUUUUGCAACAGCAUCAUACUUUCUUUAUGGGUUACUGUAAUGAAAUUAUAUAUUCGCAGCCUGUGUGUUUCAAGAGGUUUGCACACAC
rnacentral:lncRNA from 1 species